rnacentral:rRNA from 1 species
CCCUUAGAUGUUCUGGGCCGCACGCGCGCUACACUGAUGCAUUCAACUAGCCUAUCCUUGACCGACAGGUCCGGGUAAUCUUUGAAUCUGCAUCGUGACGGGGAUAGAUUAUUGCAAUUAUUAAUCUUCAACGAGGAAUGCCUAGUAGGCGCAAGUCAUCAGCUUGCGUCGAUUACGUCCCUGCCCUUUGUACACACCGCCCGUCGCUCCUACCGAUUGGGUGUGCUGGUGAAAUGUUCGGAUCGGCCGUUUGUCGCGGUUUCCGCGUCAUGUGGCUGAGAAGUUCAUUAAACCCUCCCACCUAGAGGAAGGAGAAGUCGUAACA